GACCGCUUAGCUCAGUGGUAGAGCGUGUGAUUCCAGAACCGCUGUUUGCGGCGAAUCGGUGCAUCCACAAGGUCGUCCGUUCAAUCCGGGCAGUGGUCA